rnacentral:rRNA from 1 species
GUACUACUCUCAGAGUUUGAUCCUGGCUCAGGAUGAACGCUAGCGACAGGCCUAACACAUGCAAGUCGAGGGGCAGCACGAAGCAAGCUUGCUUGUCUUGGUGGCGACCGGCGCACGGGUGCGUAACAGGUGUGCAAUCUGUCCAUAAUCGGGGAAUAGCCCAGCGAAAGUUGGAUUAAUGCUCCAUGUGAGCCGAGGAGGCAUCUCUUUGGUUUGAAACGCAAGGAUUAUGGGUGAGCACGCUUCUGAUUAGGUAGUUGGUGAGGUAACGGCUCACCAAGCCGACGAUCAGUAGGGGUUCUGAGAGGAAGGUCCCCCACAUUGGAACUGAGACACGGUCCAA